GUGGGGAAUAUUGCACAAUGGGCGCAAGCCUGAUGCAGCGACGCCGCGUGCGGGAUGGAGGCCUUCGGGUUGUAAACCGCUUUUGAUCGGGAGCAAGCCCUUCGGGGUGAGUGUACCUUUCGAAUAAGCACCGGCUAACUACGUGCCAGCAGCCGCGGUAAUACGUAGGGUGCAAGCGUUAUCCGGAAUUAUUGGGCGUAAAGGGCUCGUAGGCGGUUCGUCGCGUCCGGUGUGAAAGCCCAUCGCUUAACGGUGGGUCUGCGCCGGGUACGGGCGGGCUGGAGUGCGGUAGGGGAGACUGGAAUUCCCGGUGUAACGGUGGAAUGUGUAGAUAUCGGGAAGAACACCAAUGGCGAAGGCAGGUCUCUGGGCCGUCACUGACGCUGAGGAGCGAAAGCGUGGGGAGCGAACAGGAUUAGAAACCCGAGUAGUCC
rnacentral:rRNA from 1 species